UAUGACGGGUAUCCGGCCUGAGAGGGUGAACGGACACACUGGAACUGAGACACGGUCCAGACUCCUACGGGAGGCAGCAGUAGGGAAUAUUGCUCAAUGGGCGAAAGCCUGAAGCAGCAACGCCGCGUGGAGGAUGAAGGUUUUAGGAUUGUAAACUCCUUUUGUUAGAGAAGAUAAUGACGGUAUCUAACGAAUAAGCACCGGCUAACUCCGUGCCAGCAGCCGCGGUAAUACGGAGGGUGCAAGCGUUACUCGGAAUCACUGGGCGUAAAGAGUGCGUAGGCGGGAAAAUAAGUCAGAUGUGAAAUCCUAUGGCUUAACCAUAGAACUGCAUUCGAAACUAUUUUUCUAGAGUGUGGGAGAGGUAGGUGGAAU
rnacentral:rRNA from 1 species